UUUCCGUAGGUGAACCUGCGGAAGGAUCAUUAUUGUAUAACCGAGGUGCGAGGGCUGUCGCUGACCCGAAAGGUCGUGCACGCUCGAGUGCCCUCACACACAUCCAUCUCACCCCUAUGUGCACCACCGCGUGGGUCCCCCUUUGGCUUGUUCGGAGGGGGGCUUACGUUUUCACACAAACUUUGUAUGCAGUGUAGAAUGUAUUUUUUGUUUUUGCGAUCACGCAAUCAAUACAACUUUCAACAACGGAUCUCUUGGCUCUCACAUCGAUGAAGAACGCAGC
rnacentral:misc_RNA from 1 species